rnacentral:tmRNA from 1 species
GGGCCUAUCUGGUUUUGACAGUAAGACGAGAUGGUACGUAAGCAUGCGGAGUCUCGGUAGCUCGCUCCUAAAACUGAGUUGUCAAACAAUUAAUUGGCGAAAAAUCUUACGCUCUCGCUGCUUAAUCGAAGUACAGUAGAUUGGCUUUAUCGUGUUACCAGGUAACAUGACGAGACAUCACUCCGAAGGUGUUGUUCCGAAUCUGAGGGAAUAGUGGUGCAGUAAAUCGGAAAUAGUUUGUGCUUGCCUCGCGGUGCAAAUGAAAACUUAGAGGAUAAGGCUUCAGUUUAGUGGUCCGGGGCUUGUUGAAGCACGAAAAUCAAAGGCCGGAAUAAGCAUGUAGAAAGCGUAUGGUUUCCUUGCUGGACAUCGGUUCGACUCCGAUUAGGUCCACC